CUACGGGAGGCAGCAGUGGGGAAUAUUGCACAAUGGGGGAAACCCUGAUGCAGCCAUGCCGCGUGUGUGAAGAAGGCCUUCGGGUUGUAAAGCACUUUCAGUUGUGAGGAAAAGUUAGUAGUUAAUACCUGCUAGCCGUGACGUUAACAACAGAAGAAGCACCGGCUAACUCCGUGCCA
rnacentral:rRNA from 1 species